rnacentral:rRNA from 1 species
UUGUCUAGAACGGCUAAGGGGAAUAGAGAGGGUGGAGCAGGAAAUAGGGAGGGUGGAGUGGCGGUGGGUGGUGGAGGAGAAGGAAGAGGCUGGGUGGAGCGGCGGCCGGGAGGGGGAGGAGAGGUGGGUGGAGCGUCGAGGCCUCCGAUGUCAUAGGCAUCGUAGAGGAUGGGCGGGUAGGGAGAGCGGAGGGUAGAGAGAGAAGUGCGACGAGGAGCGACGCGGUGGCCGCUGCCGACUAAGUCCGCUGCGAGCCACUUAGGGCGGUGGCGCUUCGUGUUGGGCUCGAGAGGAGCGUGGCGCCGCGGGAGGGUAGGCCGAUCUAGGCUGCGAGCUUCGGUGGUUUCGGGUGGGCACUGGGGGUGGGGGGUACCGAUCCCAAAGCCCGUAUCCGCUGCCGCGGCCAACGGUACAGGAGGAGGAGAGCAGGCUACACCUCCCUCCUUGCCGGUCACCUGUUGAAACGACGACGAGCCCUACUUCGUUUGUACCUCGGUCCAACUACGUCGCGAUACUCCGAACCAGCGAACCUACGCCAGGACCUCCGUAUUUUGCGUGUACUACAAGUGUUCGUACCACCGUCAUUCUAGACAACCGGCCAAGGAUUACUCGAGGUUUUGUCUCUUCGCGGUACUACAUGGUACCGAACUCCUCUACGUAUACAGCCGUAAAGAAACACAUAACGACCUUGUACCAAACGUAGUGGUGUAAGAUUCACAUAUUACACUUCCACCUGUCAAGUCGUAUUAAUGAUUGCCUUAAACUAUGGAAAGUUGCUUUGCUAAGUUUUCUAUAUACCUACUAAUAUACCCACGCACCGUUCAUAUGACGUUACUACUACUUCAAGGUCAAGUACUACUACCUAGGAAAACCAAAACAAUUCACGAUCCCUGUAACAACUACAACGAUCUACUACAAGGAGUCAAUGCAAAAUCAAAUCAACAUCCCUACAACUACCUAAGAAAGUCAAUUUCAAAGCGAAGCGACACUUCUUUUAUAACUCUAAUACGUCGUAUAAACCUACUACAAGGAGUACAUUAUAGGUGAUGACAUUAGGUUUUCAAAAUAGGUUAUAUACUAAAGAAGGGGAG